CCUGUAUGAUGAUAAAUCACAUUGCUUGACAUUCUGUGGAGGCAAAACAACUGAUUUAAUGAGUCUGACGG